CCCUUAGAUGUCCUGGGCUGCACGCGCGCUACACUGAUGUGUCCAGUAAGCACCUAACCUCUUCCGAAAGGAACGGGUAACCUUUGCAAAGCACAUCGUGAUGGGGAUAGAUUAUUGCAAUUAUUAGUCUUGAACGAGGAAUUCCUAGUAAGCACAAGUCAUCAGCUUGUGUUGAUUACGUCCCUGCCCUUUGUACACACCGCCCGUCGCUCCUACCGAUUGAAUGUUCCGGUGAGCUCCUCGGACUGCGCGGUCUGCAGUUUCUGCGUUCCGUGCGGAAAGUUGCGCAAACCUUAACAUUUAGAGGAAGGAGAAGUCGUAACA
rnacentral:rRNA from 1 species